ACUGGGUGCCCAGGGACCUUGCCAAUCAACUUAGCCAGAUGCACCUAUAAUACCAGCUCCUGGGGAGGUGGAGGCUGCUGGAUCUCUUGAGCUCAGGAGUUCUGAGCUGCAGUGGGAUAAGCUGACUGGGUACCUGCACUAAGUUUGACAUUAAUAUAGUGAACCUCUGGGAGUGGGCUCAACCAGGUAUCCUAAGGAUCAGUGAACAGGCUCAGCUUAGAAAAAGAGCAGGUCCGAAAUCUGGUGCCAGUCUGAGUAGGAUCAGGCCUAUGAGUGGCUCCUCCUUUUCAGUAUGAGCAAGAUAGGGAGACCCAGAUU
rnacentral:SRP_RNA from 1 species